GGGCGAUUGGCGCAGUUGGCUAGCGCGCAUCCUUGACAUGGAUGAGGUCACUGGUUCGAGUCCAGUAUCGCUCA
rnacentral:tRNA from 1 species